AACGUAGGUGGCGAGCGUUUAUCCGGAUUUACUGGGCGUAAAGCGUGUGCAGGCGGGGUAUCAAGUGGGUGUAUGAAAUCGCUCGGCUUAACCGGGGCGCGGUUAUGCCCAGACUGAUACUCUGGAGUGCGGGAGAGGGGCGUGGAUUCCGGGUGUAGCGGUGAAAUGCGUAGAUAUCUGGAGGAACACCGGUGCGAAAGGCGGCAUCCUGGACCGAGAUUGACGGCUGAGGCGCGAAAGCUAGGGUAGCAAACGGG
rnacentral:rRNA from 1 species